rnacentral:lncRNA from 1 species
AUCUUUGUCUUGGCUCAGUCUUGAUCUUUGCCUCAGUUCGGACUUAAGCUUUACUUUGGCUCAAAUUUGAGCUUGAUAACUUGGCCUCGGUCUUGAUUUUUGCCUCAGCUCGAUCUUGUUCUUUGCCUUAACUUAGACUUGAGCUUUGCCUUAUCUCGAACUUGAGCUUUACUUUAGCUUGGCUUCAGUCUUGAUCUUUAUCUCAGCACGGA